AUAAUUCAAAUCACCUGAUCGACCUUAUUAACCAAUAAUCAAUAAUACCCAUGUGAAGCUUAUAAGUGUAAGUUUUGUAAGUAAUUAUUCUUGAAUUUGUAGCCACCUUCGGGAGCCUUUAACUACCUGAAAUUGAACUCGGAAGCACCUUCUGGAAUUCUAAGAUUCCAGUUUGCCUAAGCCGCCCACCCUACGACUACAGGUGCAUUUAGGCUUUCCGACUGAACGGAGAGAUUGGACAACCCGAUAAAGAAUAUCCAUCGGGAAGACCUUAGUCAUUUGCAAUGAACAGAUUUAAGUGCGGCUCCAAAAUCAUGAACUUCUAAAUUAGUUGAUGAAUUAUCUGUUCGGGGUGCCCGAUGUCAAGGUCCUCCAAGUUUCCU